CAAGGCUUGACAUGCAGGGUAAUCCGGCAGAGAUGUCGGGUCCGCAAGGGAUCCUGCACAGGUGGUGCAUGGUUGUUGUCAGCUCGUGUCGUGAGAUGUUGGGUUAAGUCCCGCAACGAGCGCAACCCUCGUCCUAUGUCGCCAGCACGUCAUGGUGGGGACUCAUAGGAGACUGCCGGGGUCAACUCGGAGGAAGGCGGGGAUGACGUCAAAUCAUCAUGCCCCUUAUGUCUUGGGCUUCACCCAUGCUACAAUGGCCAGUACAAAGGGGUGCGAGACCGUGAGGUGGAGCGAAUCCCAAAAAGCUGGUUUCAGUUCGGAUCGGGGUUUGCAACUUGACCCCGUGAAGUUGGAGUCGCUAGUAAUUGCAGAUCAGCAACGCCGCGGUGAAUACGUUCCC
rnacentral:rRNA from 1 species